ensembl:lncRNA
CUGAAGCGCCCGCAGGUGCCUGUGCCUGUGUAUCCCGACAAUAAACCAAAUCCUCUUGCUGAUUGCAUCCUGUGGUGUCUCGGUCUGGUCUUUGGAGUUAGAGGAUCUCCAUCCCGAGGGAAAGUUCUCCCUGAGAGCUUUUCAUUUGGUGCAUUGGCCGGGAAAGGAGAUCCUCCACCCAGGGACCACCGACCACCCACUGGGAGGUAAGCCGGCCGGCGUCUGUCUGUCUGUCUGAUUUUGUCUCGUUCUGUCUUAUUCUGUCUGUUCUGUGAGCGCUCAGCCAGGUUCUGUGAGCGCUCAGCCAGGUCUGUUCUGUGAGCGCUCAGCCAGGUUGUUUGGAAUUUGGGCGGGACGAAGAAGGAGCUGACGAGCUCGGACUUCUCGCCCCGCAGCCCUGGAAGACGUUCCAAGGGUGUUAGGGGCCCGACUUUUCGGGGCCCAAUCUGAGAGAGGAGAAAGAUCCGGACUAACGGCACCUCUGUCUGUAUUUUUGGCUUUCAGAGGGCCCCGGACCUUUGCCACCUCCAUCUGACUUUUUGCUUUCAGUUUGGUACCAAAGCCAUGCAGCACGCCUGUCUGUUGUUUGUUUGACUGUUGGUGUUGUUUGUUUUCUCUGUGUUCUAAUCUUCCUUAGAACUAACAUGGGACAGUCCCUAACAAUGCCUCUAAGUCUCACUCUUGAUCAUUAAAAAGACGUCCACGACCAGGCACACAACCAGUCCGUCGAGGUUAAAAAAAAAAAAGAAAAAUGACAGACUCUCUACACAUCCGAGUGGCCCACUUUCGGAGCGGGAUGGCC